rnacentral:rRNA from 1 species
CACGCCCUAAACGAUGUCAACUAGGUGUUGGGUGGGUAAAACCAUUUAGUACCGGAGCUAACGCGUGAAGUUGACCGCCUGGGGAGUACGGCCGCAAGGUUAAAACUCAAAGGAAUUGACGGGGACCCGCACAAGCGGUGGAUGAUGUGGAUUAAUUCGAUGCAACGCGAAAAACCUUACCUACCCUUGACAUGUCAGGAAGUCUUGAGAGAUUGAGAUGUGCCCGAAAGGGAACCUGAACACAGGUGC